rfam:Valsa mali strain 03-8 chromosome 6, whole genome shotgun sequence.
GCCUGAUUAGCUCAUCGGUAGAGCGCGUCACUAGUAAUGACGAGGUGACUGGUUCGAUUCCAGUAUUAGGCA